rnacentral:rRNA from 1 species
CCUACGGGAGGCAGCAGUGAGGAAUAUUGGUCAAUGGGCUUACGCCUGAACCAGCCAAGUCGCGUGAGGGAAGACUGCCCUAUGGGUUGUAAACCUCUUUUGUCAGGGAGCAACGCCGGCUACGUGUAGCCGGACUGAGAGUACCUGAAGAAAAAGCAUCGGCUAACUCCGUGCCAGCAGCCGCGGUAAUACGGAGGAUGCGAGCGUUAUCCGGAUUUAUGGGGUUUAAAGGGUGCGUAGGCGGAAUGUCAAGUCAGCGGUAAAAUCGCGGGGCUCAACCUCGCUCCGCCGUUGAAACUGGCGUUCUUGAGUGGGCGAGAAGUAUGCGGAAUGCGUGGUGUAGCGGUGAAAUGCAUAGAUAUCACGCAGAACUCCGAUUGCGAAGGCAGCAUACCGGCGCCCAACUGACGCUGAAGCACGAAAGCGUGGGUAUCGAACAGGAUUAGAUACCCUAGUAGUC